UCUUAUGAUUGUUAUGUUUUAAUGUAUUUGAUGUUAAAACAUUGUAUGAUUCAGCAUGAUUUUAGUUGGUUAACAACAUGUUUUUUAUGUUUAAAUCCAUGUUGAAAAUCAUGUGUUAUUCUGGAAAUUAUUUUUUGGUCACUGCCAGUGAGACAAUCGAUUGUUCCCUUAAACAAUCGAUUGUCUGAGACGUUAAAUAUUCUGGCAGUUAUU
rnacentral:lncRNA from 1 species